UCGAACCCUGCAAAGCAGAACGACCCGUGAACACGUAAAAACAACCGAGCUCGAGUGGGUUAAGCACUUGUUUGAUCCUCUCGAUGCUUUGUCGAUGUGCACUUACUCGACUGGUUUUGGAGUCUUGUGAGUGUGUCGUUGGCGCAAUAACAACCCCCGGCACAAUGUGUGCCAAGGAAAACUAAAGUAAGAUGGCUUGUCUCAUGUAGUCCCGUUCGCGGUGUGCUCAUGGGAUGUGGCUUCUUUAUAAAUCGCGUCGCCCCCNACAAAUCUUUGUUGGGGGCGGAUAUUGGUCUCCCGUGCUCAUGGCGUGGUUGGCCAAAAUAGGAGUCCCUUCGAUGGACGCACAAACUAGUGGUGGUCGUAAAAACCCUCGUUCUUUGUUUGUGUCGCACGUCGAUAGGAAACACUCUCUAAAUACCCCAAUGUGUUGUCUUAGGAUGACGCUUCGACCG
rnacentral:rRNA from 1 species